rnacentral:rRNA from 1 species
UGGGGAAUCUUGGACAAUGGGCGCAAGCCUGAUCCAGCCAUGCCGCGUGAGUGAAGAAGGCCUUCGGGUUGUAAAGCUCUUUUACCAGGGACGAUAAUGACGGUACCUGGAGAAUAAGCCCCGGCAAACUUCGUGCCAGCAGCCGCGGUAAUACGAAGGGGGCUAGCGUUGUUCGGAAUUACUGGGCGUAAAGCGCACGUAGGCGGGUCGUUAAGUCAGGGGUGAAAUCCCAGAGCUCAACUCUGGAACUGCCUUUGAUACUGGCGACCUAGAGUUCGGAAGAGGUUAGUGGAAUUCCCAGUGUAGAGGUGAAAUUCGUAGAUAUUGGGAAGAACACCAGUGGCGAAGGCGGCUAACUGGUCCGAUACUGACGCUGAGGUGCGAAAGCGUGGGGAGCAAACAG